rnacentral:rRNA from 1 species
AGAACGAACGCUGGCGGCAUGCCUAACACAUGCAAGUCGAACGAGACCUUCGGGUCUAGUGGCGCACGGGUGCGUAACGCGUGGGAAUCUGCCCUUGGGUUCGGGAUAACAGCGAGAAAUUGCUGCUAAUACCGGAUGAUGACGUAAGUCCAAAGAUUUAUCGCCCAGGGAUGAGCCCGCGUAGGAUUAGCUAGUUGGUGAGGUAAAGGCUCACCAAGGCGACGAUCCUUAGCUGGUCUGAGAGGAUGAUCAGCCACACUGGGACUGAGACACGGCCCAGACUCCUACGGGAGGCAGCAGUGGGGAAUAUUGCGCAAUGGGCGGAAGCCUGACGCAGCGACGCCGCGUGGGGGAUGACGGCCUUCGGUGUAACCUCUUUCGCCAGGACGAAGAGAAUUGACGGUACCUGGAUAAGAAGCCCGGCCAACUACGUGCCAGCAGCCGC